rnacentral:rRNA from 1 species
GACGAACGCUGGCGGCGUGCCUAAUACAUGCAAGUAGAACGCAGUUGCGAACGGGUGAGUAACGCGUAGGUAACUGCCUCAUAGCGGGGGAUCACUAUUGGAAACGAUAGCUAAUACCGCAUACUGUGAGAUGGACCUGCUUUUUAUUAGGUAGUUGGUGCGGUAAAGGGUCACCAAGGCGACGAUACAUAGCCGAACUGAGAGGGUGAGCGGCCACAAUGGGACUGAGACACGGCCCAGACUCCGACGGGAGGCAGCAGUAGGGAAUCUUCGGAAAUGGAGGGAAGUCUGACCGAGCAACGCCGCGUGAGUGAAGAAGGUGUUAGGAGCGUAAAGCUCUGUUGUGAGAGAAGCGGUAACUAAAGAGAAAGGGACGGCUAACUACGUGCCAGCAGCCGCGGUAAUAC